AAAUUGAAGAGUUUGAUCAUGGCUCAGAUUGAACGCUGGCGGCAGGCCUAACACAUGCAAGUCGAACGGUAACAGGAAGCAGCUUGCUGCUUUGCUGACGAGUGGCGGACGGGUGAGUAAUGUCUGGGAAACUGCCUGAUGGAGGGGGAUAACUACUGGAAACGGUAGCUAAUACCGCAUAACGUCGCAAGACCAAAGAGGGGGACCUUCGGGCCUCUUGCCAUCGGAUGUGCCCAGAUGGGAUUAGCUAGUAGGUGGGGUAACGGCUCACCUAGGCGACGAUCCCUAGCUGGUCUGAGAGGAUGACCAGCCACACUGGAACUGAGACACGGUCCAGACUCCUACGGGAGGCAGCAGUGGGGAAUAUUGCACAAUGGGCGCAAGCCUGAUGCAGCCAUGCCGCGUGUAUGAAGAAGGCCUUCGGGUUGUAAAGUACUUUCAGCGGGGAGGAAGGGAGUAAAGUUAAUACCUUUGCUCAUUGACGUUACCCGCAGAAGAAGCACCGGCUAACUCCGUGCCAGCAGCCGCGGUAAUACGGAGGGUGCAAGCGUUAAUCGGAAUUACUGGGCGUAAAGCGCACGCAGGCGGUUUGUUAAGUCAGAUGUGAAAUCCCCGGGCUCAACCUGGGAACUGCAUCUGAUACUGGCAAGCUUGAGUCUCGUAGAGGGGGGUAGAAUUCCAGGUGUAGCGGUGAAAUGCGUAGAGAUCUGGAGGAAUACCGGUGGCGAAGGCGGCCCCCUGGACGAAGACUGACGCUCAGGUGCGAAAGCGUGGGGAGCAAACAGGAUUAGAUACCCUGGUAGUCCACGCCGUAAACGAUGUCGACUUGGAGGUUGUGCCCUUGAGGCGUGGCUUCCGGAGCUAACGCGUUAAGUCGACCGCCUGGGGAGUACGGCCGCAAGGUUAAAACUCAAAUGAAUUGACGGGGGCCCGCACAAGCGGUGGAGCAUGUGGUUUAAUUCGAUGCAACGCGAAGAACCUUACCUGGUCUUGACAUCCACGGAAGUUUUCAGAGAUGAGAAUGUGCCUUCGGGAACCGUGAGACAGGUGCUGCAUGGCUGUCGUCAGCUCGUGUUGUGAAAUGUUGGGUUAAGUCCCGCAACGAGCGCAACCCUUAUCCUUUGUUGCCAGCGGUCCGGCCGGGAACUCAAAGGAGACUGCCAGUGAUAAACUGGAGGAAGGUGGGGAUGACGUCAAGUCAUCAUGGCCCUUACGACCAGGGCUACACAUGUGCUACAAUGGCGCAUACAAAGAGAAGCGACCUCGCGAGAGCAAGCGGACCUCAUAAAGUGCGUCGUAGUCCGGAUUGGAGUCUGCAACUCGACUCCAUGAAGUCGGAAUCGCUAGUAAUCGUGGAUCAGAAUGCCACGGUGAAUACGUUCCCGGGCCUUGUACACACCGCCCGUCACACCAUGGGAGUGGGUUGCAAAAGAAGUAGGUAGCUUAACCUUCGGGAGGGCGCUUACCACUUUGUGAUUCAUGACUGGGGUGAAGUCGUAACAAGGUAACCGUAGGGGAACCUGCGGUUGGAUCACCUCCUUA
rnacentral:rRNA from 1 species